AGUGAACGCUGGCGGUAGGCCUAACACAUGCAAGUCGAACGGCAGCACAGUAAGAGCUUGCUCUUACGGGUGGCGAGUGGCGGACGGGUGAGGAAUACAUCGGAAUCUACUUUUUCGUGGGGGAUAACGUAGGGAAACUUACGCUAAUACCGCAUACGACCUACGGGUGAAAGCAGGGGAUCUUCGGACCUUGCGCGAUUGAAUGAGCCGAUGUCGGAUUAGCUAGUUGGCGGGGUAAAGGCCCACCAAGGCGACGAUCCGUAGCUGGUCUGAGGAUGAUCAGCCACACUGGAACUGAGACACGGUCCAGACUCCUACGGGAGGCAGCAGUGGGGAAUAUUGGACAAUGGGCGCAAGCCUGAUCCAGCCAUACCGCGUGAGUGAAGAAGGCCUUCGGGUUGUAAAGCCCUUUUGUUGGGAAAGAAAAGCAGCAGGUUAAUACCCCGCUGUUCUGACGGUACCCAAAGAAUAAGCACCGGCUAACUUCGUG
rnacentral:rRNA from 1 species